rnacentral:rRNA from 1 species
GACGAACGCUGGCGGCGUGCUUAACACAUGCAAGUCGAACGGAAAGGCCCUGCUUUUGUGGGGUGCUCGAUUGGCGAACGGGUGAGUAACACGUGAGUAACCUGCCCUUGACUUUGGGAUAACUUCAGGAAACUGGGGCUAAUACCGGAUAGGAGCUCCUGCUGCAUUGUGGGGGUUGGAAAGUUUCGGCGGUUGGGGAUGGACUCGCGGCUUAUCAGCUUGUUGGUGGGGUAGUGGCUUACCAAGGCUUUGACGGGUAGCCGGCCUGAGAGGGUGACCGGCCACAUUGGGACUGAGAUACGGCCCAGACUCCUACGGGAGGCAGCAGUGGGGAAUAUUGCACAAUGGGAGGAAGCCUGAUGCAGCAACGCCGCGUGCGGGAUGACGGCCUUCGGGUUGUAAAACGCUUUCGCCUGUGACGAAGCGUGAGUGACGGUAAUGGGUAAAGAAGCACCGGCUAACUACGUG